GAUGAAGAACGCAGCGAAAUGCGAUAAGUAAUGUGAAUUGCAGAAUUCAGUGAAUCAUCGAAUCUUUGAACGCACAUUGCGCCCCCUGGUAUUCCGGGGGGCAUGCCUGUCCGAGCGUCAUUACAACCCUCAAGCUCAGCUUGGUGUUGGGCCCCGCCGCCCCGGCGGGCCCUAAAGUCAGUGGCGGUGCCGUCCGGCUCCGAGCGUAGUAAUUCUUCUCGCUCUGGAGGUCCGGUCGUGUGCUCGCCAGCAACCCCCAAUUUUUUUCAGGUUGACCUCGGAUCAGGUAGGGAUACCCGCUGAACUUAAGCAUAUCAAUAAGGAGGA
rnacentral:misc_RNA from 1 species